rnacentral:tRNA from 1 species
GCGCCAGUAGCCCAACGGAUUAGAGCAUCUGACUACGGAUCAGAAGGUUGCAGGUUCGAAUCCUGUCUGGCGCACC